rnacentral:rRNA from 1 species
UACAGAGAGUGCAAACGUUGUUCGGAAUUACUGGGCUUGAAGCGCACGUAGGCGGCGUUGUAAGUGUCGGGUGAAAUCCCACGGCUCACCCGUGGAACUGCCCAGCAUACUGCGAUGCUAGAGUGUGGUAGGGGAGAGCGGAACUCCUGGUGGAGCGGUGAAAUGCGUAGAUAUCAGGAGGAACACCGGUGGCGAAGGCGGCUCUCUGGUCCACAACUGACGCUGAGGUGCGAAAGCUAGGGGAGCAAACGGG